AGAGAGAACGUGAGAAAGACAGAGAGAGAGAGAGAGAGAGAGAAAGAGCAUCUGCCGGAUGGCAACGGAAAGUUUAAGGAAACGCAGCCCAGAUACGUAUACAAGCGGUUUGGCACAUAAGAUACAGAUACCCAACGGGAGGACAGUCACAUAUGCUUAUAUAAAACAUGGGCUCGCCGAGCAGCUACAAAAUAUGCGAGAGACGAUGCAAAAAAAAAAAAAAA